GACAUUGUAGUUUAAAGAUAAAAUAUGUAUUUUGCGUGUACAAAAUAACUUUUAGUUCUUUGUUG
rnacentral:tRNA from 1 species